AUUGAACGCUGGCGGCAUGCUUUACACAUGCAAGUCGAACGGUAACAGGCCGCAAGGUGCUGACGAGUGGCGAACGGGUGAGUAAUGCAUCGGAACGUGCCCAGUCGUGGGGGAUAACGCAGCGAAAGCUGCGCUAAUACCGCAUACGAUCUAUGGAUGAAAGCGGGGGACCUUAAGGCCUCGCGCGAUUGGACCGGCCGAUGUCAGAUUAGGUAGUUGGUGGGGUAAAGGCUCACCAAGCCAACGAUCUGGAGCUGGUCUGAGAGGACGACCAGCCACACUGGGACUGAGACACGGCCCAGACUCCUACGGGAGGCAGCAGUGGGGAAUUUUGGACAAUGGGCGCAAGCCUGAUCCAGCAAUGCCGCGUGCAGGAAGAAGGCCUUCGGGUUGUAAACUGCUUUUGUACGGAACGAAACGGCUCUCUCUAAUACAGGGGGCUAAUGACGGUACCGUAAGAAUAAGCACCGGCUAACUACGUGCCAGCCGCCGCGGUAACAC
rnacentral:rRNA from 1 species